GCCUCUAUGUGUGGAUGUAGAUUCUACACACAGAUCUCGACCAAUCAGAGAGCUUACAGAAACCAAUUUGAAUUCCCGCAAUUAUAUGGGGUAAUGUAUCGUCAUAUGCGAAUUUUCACUUGAUGUGAUUGUGAGACGGAAGUAGACAUUUGCGAAGGAAGGUCAACAGAUGAAUUCCAAAGGAAGCUCUUGUGGUGUAAGGGAGUACCCCAGCAUUUGCUUGGAGGGACAAAGGUAAACCAAUGAGAAUCCCUGCAAACCUGUGGCACAGGGCAGGAAUUAGAAGGCCUUCAAAAUAAGCAGUGGGGUAGCACAUUACCUGAAUCCAGCACUGAAGAUAAUGUAAAUCCUUUGAAAAUGUGGUGGGGUUUUGGUAUUUGGGGAGUAAGGUAACAAUUACAAAUUAUAUUUAUGAAAGAAUUAUGAGAAUAUUAAAUUCACAGAAUGUUUGCUACCAAUGAGUACAGAAGCUUUUGUUCUCCCAUCUGCUACCUGAAAACAAGACUAAAAUAUACACAACAGUAAUUUUACCUGUAGUUUUGAAUGGGUGUGAAUUUCACACUGAAACUUAGUCUCUUGUAUCAAUGGAAAAAUGCAGCUUGAGGGUGCUCAUGAUAUUAUUAGUACCUAAGAAGUAACGGGAGACUGGAGAAAAUGCGGAACAAGGAUCUCGUACUCAAUACUAGGAAAUAACAUGGGACAUUAGAGGGCAUUUAGCAAGCAUGGGCGUUACCAGAAAUAUAACAUUUGGGUCAGAGAACUCAAAGAGUUAGCUUUUUAAAGGUCUUUGGACAAGUGAACUACUAAAAUGGCUCUUAAAGGUGUAGAGUGGGUCAGUGUGCACUGGAUUGAGUACUGUGAAAAGAGCAAUGAACCUUUCGCUUCCGUAAAGUGCUGGGAAUUUAUCAAGCAGCUGAAAGACCUCUGGCUUCUACUGGACCUCUGCUCCAUGCAGUCUAUAUAACUUACAGUGAUCUAUUUUCUGUCGAAGCUUAUCACCUUCAACAUCCAAUGCCAAACAAAACUGCUCCACAUUAUCCAUGUAAAUCAGUUAUUGUGACUAAUGCCUCCAGUUAUGGUCUUAGCAACCUUCCUGACCUCUGUCCAUUUCUGAGAUUGGUGACCUAUGACACUGGCCCCAUUAUCUCCAAUGAUGAAUAGCCUACAGAAGGAAAUUACAUUGCAUGGUCUCUGAACCUUGGUGGUGAGGCAGGGUUUUCUUCUUAUCCACUAAGGAUUUACCUUAUCAGAGAUAACAGAAAGGAAGACAUUUUAAAGUAUGUGAACCCAAGACCUUUGGUACAGUCUAAAGUACACUCUAAACCCAGUGUUCACUAAUGACUCAUUCAGACUCAUUAAGCAAACAGGCUCAAAUAAUAUUUUUGACUUGUAUUUGGGAGGUGGCAAUUUUGAAUCUUGGCCAAUCACCUAUCCUGAGGUUUUCCUCUGUCCAUCCUAGCAAAUUCUGGGAUAGUACCUCAUUUGGGUAUGGCCACUUCUUUCCACAUGCUUUACAAUCUGACCUACUUAUUAACAGAAAUGUCUAGAUGCUUCCAGGUAAAAAUGAGACAUAGAAAAAUGCAUGUGCAUUGGAAACGCCAAAAUCAGCAAUGAUUUCUGAACCGUAGAAUGGGUACCCAAUGUGGAGGAAAGUUGGUACACCACCAACCACAACAGAAAUGCAUUUUUUUUAUUGCAGGUGCAAACCAAAUUCUUAAUUGCUGAAGAGUGCUUUGAUUCCAUGGACUAGUCCUCAAUAAGUUAAUCAGUGCUCAGGCAGUCCAGUAUCCACCCCCCCCCCCCCCACAAGUUUCAUUCUAUUCAUAACAUGAGACCACCAGUCCCUAUCCUGAGCCAGAUAAAUCCGCUAUGCACUGUCUUCAUUUAAGAACCAUUUAGUUAUACCUGAAGCCAGGACAGCACAGUUGGUAUAGUGGCUGGAGGACCGAGGGGUCAGAGUUUGAAUCCUGGUGGGGUCAAGAAUUUUCACUUCAUGUUGUCCAGACUGGCUCUGGGGUCCACCCAACGUCCUCUUCACCGGGUAUCAGGGGCACUUUCCCCGCAGGUAAAGCUGACCCCUCUCCUCCAGCUAGUGCAGAAGUCAAGAAAAUGGAUCUAUAUGAAGGGGGACCCAAAAAUAACCG